rnacentral:rRNA from 1 species
UACGUAGGGUGCAAGCGUUGUCCGGAAUUAUUGGGCGUAAAGAGCUCGUAGGCGGUUUGUCGCGUCUGCUGUGAAAACUCGGGGCUUAACCCCGGGCCUGCAGUGGGUACGGGCAGACUAGAGUGCGGUAGGGGAGACUGGAAUUCCUGGUGUAGCGGUGAAAUGCGCAGAUAUCAGGAAGAACACCAGCGGCGAAGGCGGCACUCUGGGCUGGAAUUGACGCUGAGGAGCGAAAGUGUGGGUAGCAAACAGG